CGUUCUUUUCAGGUCUUUUUGCGGUCUGGGCUUGCUGUAUAUGACCACCCAGGAAGCCCUUACCCCAAAAAGCAUCUGCAGGGGACC
rfam:Takifugu rubripes chromosome, Chr_9